rfam:Pseudocercospora fijiensis CIRAD86 unplaced genomic scaffold MYCFIscaffold_1, whole genome shotgun sequence.
UCCAGUGAUGAUACCUUGACAACGAAUUGGCAUUCCUCGAUCGGAAUUUACCAUGUCGAUCCUGUCAUUAAAUAGUUUCAGCCUUGUCUGAUC